UGGGGAAUUUUCCGCAAUGGGCGAAAGCCUGACGGAGCAAGACCGCGUGGGGGAGGAAGGCUUUAGGGUUGUAAACCCCUUUUCUUUGGGAAGAAGUUCUGACGGUACCAAAGGAAUCAGCCUCGGCUAACUCCGUGCCAGCAGCCGCGGUAAUACGGAGGAGGCAAGCGUUAUCCGGAAUGAUUGGGCGUAAAGCGUCCGCAGGUGGCCAUGUAAGUCUGCUGUCAAAACCCAGGGCUCAACUCUGGUUAGGCAGCGGAAACUACAAAGCUAGAGUCUGGUAGGGGCAAAGGGAAUUCCCGGCGUAGCGGUGAAAUGCGUAGAUUUCGGGAAGAACAUCGGUGGCGAAAGCGCUUUGCUAGACCAGAACUGACACUCAGGGACGAAAGCUAGGGGAGCGAAUG
rnacentral:rRNA from 1 species